UACAGAGGUCUCGAGCGUUGUUCGGAUUCAUUGGGCGUAAAGGGUGCGUAGGUGGCGAGGCAAGUCGGAUGUGAAAUCCCGGAGCUUAACUCCGGAACUGCAUUCGAUACAGCUUUGCUGGAGUGCUGGAGAGGAGAUCGGAAUUUACGGUGUAGCAGUGAAAUGCGUAGAUAUCGUAAGGAAGACCAGUGGCGAAGGCGGAUCUCUGGACAGCUACUGACACUGAGGCACGAAGGCCAGGGGAGCAAACGGG
rnacentral:rRNA from 1 species